AUUGAACGCUGGCGGCAUGCCUUACACAUGCAAGUCGAACGGCAGCGCGGACUUCGGUCUGGCGGCGAGUGGCGAACGGGUGAGUAAUGUAUCGGAACGUACCAUUCAGUGGGGGAUAACGCAGCGAAAGUUGCGCUAAUACCGCAUAUUCUGUGCGCAGGAAAGCAGGGGAUCGCAAGACCUUGCGCUGAUUGAGCGGCCGAUAUCAGAUUAGCUAGUUGGUGAGGUAAAGGCUCACCAAGGCGACGAUCUGUAGCGGGUCUGAGAGGAUGAUCCGCCACACUGGAACUGAGACACGGUCCAGACUCCUACGGGAGGCAGCAGUGGGGAAUUUUGGACAAUGGGCGCAAGCCUGAUCCAGCCAUGCCGCGUGAGUGAAGAAGGCCUUCGGGUUGUAAAGCUCUUUCGGCCGGGAAGAAAUCGUAUGGGUUAAUACCCUGUGCGGAUGACGGUACCGGCAUAAGAAGCACCAGCUAACUACGUGCCAGCAGCCGCGGUAACAC
rnacentral:rRNA from 1 species